rnacentral:rRNA from 1 species
UGGGGAAUAUUGCACAAUGGGCGCAAGCCUGAUGCAGCCAUGCCGCGUGUGUGAAGAAGGCCUUCGGGUUGUAAAGCACUUUCAGCGAGGAGGAAGGUGGUGAGCUUAAUACGCUCAUCAAUUGACGUUACUCGCAGAAGAAGCACCGGCUAACUCCGUGCCAGCAGCCGCGGUAAUACGGAGGGUGCAAGCGUUAAUCGGAAUUACUGGGCGUAAAGCGCACGCAGGCGGUUUGUUAAGUCAGAUGUGAAAUCCCCGGGCUCAACCUGGGAACUGCAUUUGAAACUGGCAAGCUAGAGUCUCGUAGAGGGGGUAGAAUUCCAGGUGUAGCGGUGAAAUGCGUAGAGAUCUGGAGGAAUACCGGUGGCGAAGGCGGCCCCCUGGACGAAGACUGACGCUCAGGUGCGAAAGCGUGGGG